ACUCCUACGGGAGGCAGCAGUGGGGAAUAUUGCACAAUGGGCGCAAGCCUGAUGCAGCCAUGCCGCGUGUAUGAAGAAGGCCUUCGGGUUGUAAAGUACUUUCAGCAGUGAGGAAGGUUCAUACGUUAAUAGCAGUAUGGAUUGACGUAAGCUGCAGGAGGCGA
rnacentral:rRNA from 1 species